rnacentral:lncRNA from 1 species
AGCAUAUCAUUUUCAUCAUCAUUUGCAGUCCCUUUUUUUUUUAGCUCAUUCACCAAGUGGAUCGCUUUGUCGAGGUGAUCCGAGAGCCCGAUGUAUUUCAAAGUGUUGACAAGUCCACAAAAAUUAGCUACGAUAAAUAUCGAUCCAUGCUCAAGUAUCGAGAUUCGAUCUUGAACUUCUUAGUAGAUUUGAUCUUGUUCAUAGAUAUGAUCUAUGAUUUUUGAUAUCAGAAUAUACAUAUAUUUUUAUGUCAUACGAUUCAUGAUAAGUAGUUUUAGAUCAAAUCUAAUGCAUGCUAGGUUAAUUUGAUUAAUCU